UGCAGCUGCUGCCCUAAGGCAGUCAUUUUGCAACUGAUUGUUGUGUGCUUCACAUUGCUGUCUCCCCACCACAGGUGGUUUAUGAAGAAGACAUUUGGCUUUUGAGCACAAAAAACAUAAAUCUGAUCAAUGAGACUUUCAGAAACCUGGUCUGAUCAUGAUGGAAGGUAAUCAAAACACAUAAUUAAACAGGAGUUCUGAAAAGCAGAUACCUUAUUUCAAACAAGCUGGAAUAACAUAUGGGAGAUGUUGGAAUAUGAUGUUGCAAUGACCUUUAGUUAUUCCCAGUGUUUACUACUUUGGAAAAGGUUUCUCCAUCAUUUGGGUUCUUGGCAUUUUUCCAGCCUGGCACUGAAUGAAUGCUUUUAGCUUUGCAAGCAGACAUCUGUGGAAGCCGAGGGUCAGGGACCCAAUCCAAAGCUAAUUGACUUCAAAUUUCCUUGGAUCAGGCUCUAGUUAGGUGGCGAAAACAUUUAGGACCAUCACACUGUACUCCAGUGCACAGGUGCUCUCAACUACCAACUAUAUGUGAGCUUGAACCUGAGCAGACUAAGGACAUUUCAGAAUUUGCACAAUGUUAACAGAUACUGGGUUUUGUGGCAUACAAAUCGUUCAUCUUCAGGCACCAGGCACCGGGAAGUUUUGUUCGAGGACUGAAAAUAUCCAGAUCGGGAGAUACCACAGUAAUUCCAAACAUGGCAUAUCCCCACCAAGAACCUAAGGAUUGCCUCUGUGUCUCCUUGUAUUUGCUCCAUCCUUCAAGGCCUCCUGCAACCAACCACCAUCAUAUAAAGCCAUGAAUAAUACUUCAAAAUCAAUGAGAGAGAUCACUACUGAGCAAGACAAGAUUUUCUCUACUGAUUAGAAUGAGACAUGAGUGAAAGGUUAAAGAUCUUAUAUGGAAGAGUGCUGUGGUUUGCAAAGUGGUGUUAGACAACUCACAUCCUGGAGGAAUACUCUGCAUGUGAUGAGCUUACUGAGACAAAAUGGUUGAUGAAUUGGGUGUGACAUUGCUAUGUAUCAGCCAGGCGGACAGAGCGUUCAUCCUUCUGUAUGUAUUGAAGAUGUUUGAGAGAGACAACUAUACCUGGAACUGGAGUUCUAGGUGGCUAGUAAAGUAGCAUCAGGGUAUCUAUUAGCAGACAAGAAAAAAAAAUUGGCAAAGCAGAGGACAAACCAUUUGGUAACCCAUACACCUAACUCUCAAGUCUGUGUGAAACUGUGGAUUUCUUAUUGUCUCAUUAUGAAAAAUGCUCCAACUGGGUUAGGCAUCCUUUUGUGUUUGGUUUGGUGCUGUACUAAAAUAUGAUCUCAAAAUGUAACUUCUUUUUCACUUGGAUUUCUAAAUGUUACUCUCCAACUAACCUGCAUUGAAAACUGUUUGCAUUAGCAAAGCAGCAAAAUUAAAAUCCUCCUUCAAGCCAUAAGGUACUCUGUAAUUGUUUUACAGUCAUCUGAGCUCAAAAACCUGAGAGAAUAGUUGGAAAAUUAAGUCACGCUCAAAAGUGCAAUGGGAAGAGGUUUCUCUGAAGACAGUAGAAAGACUCUGACUUCAUAGUAUUUUGAAUCCUACCCAGAGAUGAUAGAAGACUGAAAAAAUGAUGGAAGAAAAUAGGCUAGUCAGCUCUGAGGAUUUUUUUUUUUAGCUUAUACCUUUUUAAAAGAAGCUUAAAUAUUUCAUUUUAGGAUUUUUUUUUUUUAAAGCCAUGCAUUCAUGAUCAGCAUUACUAUCACAGCAAACACUCAAAAUUCUUUUCCCUUCAAAUGUAAGUUUCCAGCUCUCUAACAUCCUUUUCUCUAAGCAUUUCAGUCUGUAGAAUGACUGCUUCCCUUCCCAGGAUAAUUUUUUACUCUGUGCACAAAAAUGUUCAUGUAUUUUAGAUGAACACAAUGAUUAGAAUAACACAGAAACAGUGCUGCUUAGCUACUUCGUGACUUCGUUUUCUUAACUUUAGCCAUUUAAAAUGUUGACUAGUAACUGAAGCUGUAACUUCACAUUAAAAAAGAAGUUUCUUGAAGUCCUACAGUUACCAAGCCUUGGCUCAGUUUGUAACUUGCCAUCACAUCUCAUAAUCUUUAUUGGCAUGUAUCAAUAAAAUUAUUGUCUUACACAAAAGAGAGGUAGACACUACUUCAAUAAUAGGUGUUUUGAAAACAGAAACACCCUGAUGGCACCUUUCCAAAGGGAAACUGAAGAGAUUGAAUUUCCUGACUACUACAUAAGUCAAGUGUGAGCCUCUAUGCAUAAUCACAGUGCUCAUUGCACUUGUAGAUUUAAUAGAGAACACAAUUGUGCACCAGCACAGAUAUAAGCAUGAACAAUACACACAGACACACAUGCAUGUAAGUAUAUGUUGGGUCAAAUUCUAUUUGCAUCAUUCAAGAAUCAGACUGAAUGUCAUGCAUGUUCUGUAUUCAAAUAUCUAAACAGGAUUUGGUGCUCUUUACUAACUAUGUGACUGUACAAGUACCUACAGAGAUUCAGAAAGAAUAUGCAUAAUGGGCACAGCCUGGGUGUAGGGCUUGUUUGCAUGCAUUUAAAGAGGCUCUUAUAACUUAUAGAUGAUAUCACACCUCUUCCUCAGCACUGCUUCCUUCUGCCACUCCUAACACAUGCAAAUAAAAUAAAUCCUAUAUCCAGAUUCCCCACUUUGAGUAUUGUUUGUACAAUGUUUGGUAUUUUUUUAAAUAGCUAUUUCCUUUAUUGAUCUCUUGGUCAAAACAAUGUAAAAUAAUAUUUAAUUAACUUUAUGUAUCCAUUUUAAGAAGGGAUUGAUGUGUGGUUUUUAGAGCAAGAGACUCCGAGUCGGAUCGUUGGUUCUGGCCUGGUUGUGUUGCUGUGUGACUUAUGGAAAGGUGCCUAGAUCAGCUGUUAUAUGCAGCUGCAGAAUGGUUUAAAAU